GGUGAACGCUGGUAACGUGAAUCCCGGCAUGCAAUUCACGGGGGCCGCAAGGCAACCGGCAAACGGUUUAUUAACACGUAGGUACAUACCCUAAAGGGAACCACAGCUCGUCAAAAGACGGGGUAAUUCUCCAUAUUCUCGCAAGAGUAAACCCGUAAGGGGUUUUAGAAAUGGCCUGCGGCCUAUCAAAUUGUUGGCAAGGUAAUACCUCACCAAUUCUAUGACGGGUAGGGGGCGUGAGAGCGCGACCCCCAAAAAUGGCACUGCAACACGGGCCAUACUCCUACGGGAGGCUGCAGUCAAAAAUCUUCCGCAAUGGGCAAAAGCCUGACGGACCGACUUUACUUGAAUGAAAAACCCCUUCGGGGUGUAAAGUUCUUUUCUCUGGAAGGAAUUUAUUGACAGUACCAAAGGAAUAAGGGAAUCCUAUUUCUGUGCCAGCAC
rnacentral:rRNA from 1 species